rnacentral:rRNA from 1 species
AACGAACGCUGGCGGCAGGCUUAACACAUGCAAGUCGAACGCCCCGCAAGGGGAGUGGCAGACGUGUGAGUAACGCGUGGGAAUCUACAUAGUUCUACGGAACAACACAGGGAAACUGGUGCUAAUACCGUAUACGCCCUACGGGGCAAAGAUUUAUCGUAAUUUGAUGAUCCUGCGUAAGUUUAGCUAGUUGGUGGGGUAAUGGCCUACCAAGGAGACGAUAUUUAGCUGGACUGAGAGGAUGAUCAGCCACACUGGGACUGAGACACGGCCCAGACUCCUACGGGAGGAAGCAGUGGGGAAUAUUGGACAAUGGGCGCAAGCCUGAUCCAGCCAUGCCGCGUGAGUGAUGAAGGCCUUAGGGUUGUAAAGCUCUUUCAGUGGGGACGAUAAUGACGGUACCCACAGAAGAAGCCCCGGCUAACUUCGUGCCAGCAGCCGCCGUAAAAC